CUCCUCCUCCUCCCCACUUUGUGAAGGACCAUCACCCUUCCGCCGUAGAUCUGCUCGGAUCUUUUCAAAAGGGCUGUUUUUGCUUCAUUUUCUAGAUUCUCCGACUCUUCCGUCCCCUGCCUCCAAACUUCCUGACACUGUCCAGUACGGAAGAUAAAUAAAAUCCGAGAGAAAAAGAAAAGUUGGUGGUGCCCAUUGUAUCAGGACUUUGGGGCGGAGGAUCAAGUACCCACUCAGCAGGAAGGUCCCCAAUGCAACAGGGCUGGCUUACCACACACUGAAAACCAAAGAUGGCAUACAUGCAGUUCCAAGGAGUUGUAGGAGCGGAGGUGCUAAAAGAACAGAAGAAUUUGUUUAUGUACCGGUCGGUAUGCUACGGCCGCCACCUGUUAGCUCAAAGAUGGAAAAAAGAAACCAUCCUGACCAAAGAAGAUCGGCAAAAUAAAUAACGGUAAUGAAAUAUGCUGAAAUGGCGAAAUUAACUGUAAAGCUCAGAGACCAAGACGAUAAGAAUUUUAGAAAGGAUUGGGAAAUGUUUAUUGUAUAUAUUCAAAAGUAUUGUAAACAUGUUAAAACACUGGCAGGAUUUUAAGAACACUUGUAAUUUUAGAGAUACUAUAGGACAAAUUUGAUGGAAUUUUUUUUUUAGUACUAAUGAUAUGCAGUUGGAAAGGAAAAUUAAGGAACCAGAGGAGGGAGUGGAGGGAAGUCACGGGAUUCAGGGAAUCCUUAAUUUUAGAUUUGAAAUUGGUUUUACUUAGAAUUGUGUGUGUGUGUGUUUGAUAAUACUGUUUUUGAUAUGAUUUUUAUUUUAUUUUUGCAUAGUUUGUUAAAAUUUAAUAAUAAUAAUAAUAAUAAUAAUAAAAGAAUAAAAAUGGAAAUCUAUAUUUUGUGAGAAAAUACUAUUUAUA